rnacentral:rRNA from 1 species
GAUCCUGGCUCAGGAUGAACGCUAGCGGCAGGCUUAACACAUGCAAGUCGAGGGGCAGCGCGAGUAGCAAUACUUGGCGGCGACCGGCGCAAGGGUGCGUAACGCGUGAGCAACAUGCCCGUAUCAGGGGGAUAAUCCAGGGAAACUUGGUCUAAUACCCCAUAGUAAUUUUGUAAGGCAUCUUAUAAGAUUUAAAGCUUUGGUGGAUACGGAUUGGCUCGCGUGACAUUAGCUGGAUGGUAAGGUAACGGCUUACCAUGGCUAUGAUGUCUAGGGGUUCUGAGAGGAACGGUCCCCCACACUGGAACUGAGACACGGUCCAGACUCCUACGGGAGGCAGCAGUGAGGAAUAUUGGACAAUGGAUGGAAAUCUGAUCCAGCCAUGCCGCGUGAAAAGGAAGAAGGUCCUAUGGAUUGUAAACUUUCUUUUGUAUGGGAGCAAUAAGGCCUACGAGUAGGUUGAUGAGAGUACCAUACGAAUAAGCACCGGCUAACUCCGUGCCAGCCGCGGC